CAAAGGCCUCAAGUGCUCUUCCUGCCCAUACAUACAUUCUCCAUGUUGUCUCCAGUUUUCAAAGGAAAUCUUUCUACUUGUUCUCCUGUUGGUGUCAUUUCCUCUCAGCUACUUUUCAUUCUGUACCUUGAAGACAGGAUCUCCAAAAGCCAUGCUGAUUUGGACUACUAAGGCUAAGUGAGACUGACAGAUGUUCACAGUUGUUCCAGCUGCUGCGGCACACUGGUUACCUGAGAGACAGUGUGAAAACAAACACGGAAAUUGUGAAGACGCUGACACUCUACCACUGGCUUCCUGACAAACAGUAGAUAAACGGAAAAGAGAGAAGCAGCAAGAGAGACAGCGGGAAAGAGAGGCCAGUCGUUACCCACAGUUCACGCACAGAGAGCUCUGCCCUUCCUGUGGACAUGGACUUCUGGCCCUGGGGACUCCUGACUCUGUGACAGUGAUCUCAGAGGAGCAGAGAAAGAUCCGCAUGUCUCAGGACUCAUCACAAAGUCAUCGGUGCCCAGCGCUGUGGUCAAUACUGGUACUUGAUUUUAAAAAUGAUGUCCUGUGGGUGUUCACACACUCUUUUCUCAAGUCCUUUUUUUAUUUCUUACAAUGUCCUUUCCAUUAUGUUUGGCACCAAGGGUUUCUUAUGCAAAAUGAAGUUAUUUGUUUUGAAAUAAGCAUACUAGAAUAUAAUGAAAUAAUGUUUCUAUAGUGCUAGUCAUAUAUUCACUGGCUAAGAAUUUUGCUUCAGGUUUUUCUCAGGAUAUAUGUAAGAAGUGUAUGUGUG